rnacentral:rRNA from 1 species
GACGAACGCUGGCGGCGUGCUUAACACAUGCAAGUCGAACGAUGAAGCCGGAGCUUGCUCUGGUGAAUUAGUGGCGAACGGGUGAGUAACACGUGAGUAACCUGCCCUUGACUCUGGGAUAACUGCUAGAAAUGGUAGCUAAUACCGGAUACGACCCUCGGAGGCAUCUUCAGGGGGUGGAAAGAAUUUCGGUCAAGGAUGGACUCGCGGCCUAUCAGCUAGUUGGUGAGGUAAUGGCUCACCAAGGCGACGACGGGUAGCCGGCCUGAGAGGGUGACCGGCCACACUGGGACUGAGACACGGACCAGACUCCUGCGGGAGGCAGCAGUGGGGAAUAUUGCACAAUGGGCGCAAGCCUGAUGCAGCAACGCCGCGUGAGGGAUGACGGCCUUCGGGUUGUAAACCUCUUUUAGUAGGGAAGAAGCGAAAGUGACGGUACCUGCAGAAAAAGCACCGGCUAACUACGUGCCAGCCGCCGCGGUAA